rnacentral:misc_RNA from 1 species
GUAACAAGGUUUCCGUAGGUGAACCUGCGGAAGGAUCAUUACCGAGUGAGGGCGCUCGCGCCCAACCUCCCACCCGUGUUUACGUGACCGUGUUGCUUCGGCGGGCCGCCCUUCGGGGCGCCCCGGGGGCGUCUGCCCCUGGAACGUGCCCGCCGGAGGCCACUUGAACCCUGCAUGAUAGUGUUGUCUGAGUGAUUGUCUUGCAAUCAGUUAAAACUUUCAACAAUGGAUCUCUUGGUUCCGGCAUCGAUGAAGAACGCAGCGAAAUGCGAUAACUAAUGUGAAUUGCAGAAUUCCGUGAAUCAUCGAGUCUUUGAACGCACAUUGCGCCCCCUGGUAUUCCGGGGGGCAUGCCUGUCCGAGCGUCAUUGCUGCCCCUCAAGCCCGGCUUGUUAUUGGGUCGUCGUCCCCUCUCCGGGGGGGACGGGCCCUAAAGGCAGCGGCGGCACCGCGUCCGGUCCUCGAGCGUAUGGGGCUCUGUCACCCGCUCGUGAGGGACCGGCCGGCGCCGGCCACGCUACACAACCACAUUUUCUCAGGUUGACCUCGGAUCAGGUAGGGAUACCCGCUGAACCUAAGCAUAUC